rnacentral:rRNA from 1 species
GCAGUCGAACGGUAACAGGGAGCUUGCUCCGCUGACGAGUGGCGAACGGGUGUGUAAUAUAUCGGAACGUACCCAGAAGUGGGGGAUAACGUAGCGAAAGUUACGCUAAUACCGCAUACGAUCCACGGAUGAAAGUAGGGGACCUUCGGGCCUUAUGCUUUUGGAGCGGCCGAUAUCUGAUUAGCUAGUUGGUGAGGUAAAGGCUCACCAAGGCGACGAUCAGUAGCUGGUCUGAGAGGACGACCAGCCACACUGGAACUGAGACACGGUCCAGACUCCUACGGGAGGCAGCAGUGGGGAAUUUUGGACAAUGGGCGCAAGCCUGAUCCAGCAAUGCCGCGUGAGUGAAGAAGGCCUUCGGGUUGUAAAGCUCUUUUGUCAGGGAAGAAACGGCUGUGGCUAAUAUCCACGGCUAAUGACGGUACCUGAAGAAUAAGCACCGGCUAACUACGUGCCAGCAGCCGCGGUAAUACGUAGGGUGCAAGCGUUAAUCGGAAUUACUGGGCGUAAAGCGUGCGCAGGCGGUUUUGUAAGUCUGACGUGAAAUCCCCGGGCUCAACCUGGGAAUUGCGUUGGAGACUGCAAGGCUAGAAUCUGGCAGAGGGGGGUAGAAUUCCACGUGUAGCAGUGAAAUGCGUAGAGAUGUGGAGGAACACCGAUGGCGAAGGCAGCCCCCUGGGUCAAGAUUGACGCUCAUGCACGAAAGCGUGGGGAGCAAACAGGAUUAGAUACCCUGGUAGUCCACGCCCUAAACGAUGUCUACUAGUUGUCGGGUUUUAAUUAACUUGGUAACGCAGCUAACGCGUGAAGUAGACCGCCUGGGGAGUACGGUCGCAAGAUUAAAACUCAAAGGAAUUGACGGGGACCCGCACAAGCGGUGGAUGAUGUGGAUUAAUUCGAUGCAACGCGAAAAACCUUACCUACCCUUGACAUGUCAGGAAUGCCGAAGAGAUUUGGCAGUGCUCGAAAGAGAACCGUAACACAGGUGCUGCAUGGCUGUCGUCAGCUCGUGUCGUGAGAUGUUGGGUUAAGUCCCGCAACGAGCGCAACCCUUGUCAUUAGUUGCUACAUUCAGUUGAGCACUCUAAUGAGACUGCCGGUGACAAACCGGAGGAAGGUGGGGAUGACGUCAAGUCCUCAUGGCCCUUAUGGGUAGGGCUUCACACGUCAUACAAUGGUACAUACAGAGGGCCGCCAACCCGCGAGGGGGAGCUAAUCCCAGAAAGUGUAUCGUAGUCCGGAUCGUAGUCUGCAACUCGACUACGUGAAGUUGGAAUCGCUAGUAAUCGCGGAUCAGCAUGCCGCGGUGAAUACGUUCCCGGGUCUUGUACACACCGCCCGUCACACCAUGGGAGCGGGUUUUACCAGAAGUAGGUAGCUUAACCGCAAGGAGGGCGCUAC